GCACAGGCAGAUGGCUGCAAAAUUUGUCACCCCAUUGAUCACCAGGGUUGAUUUGGCUGCCCUGACUGGCUGGUCAGGCACCCCCAACCUCCCCCCCUCCAUGUGCACUUGGUGGAGCACAGCCAUCCCGGAUGGAAGAUGUGUGCCUCCUGCUCUUCAGUGGAAAGCAAAUGGUCGUUGAUGAGCCCAGGCUCAAAGCUGUACACACCUGGAAGGUUCCUU